ensembl:lncRNA
UACAGCAUUUUGAAACAUAAUUCAAAAUGGCCGACACCUAAAAUGGCCGACACGGGAAAAUUGGAUAUCAUUCGACUUGACAUGACCCACCGAAUCUAAUGAGACCAGUUUUGUGAUUUUUGGCCAAACCAUUCAGAAGUUAUAAGCAAAAAUAUGCAUUUUUCAUAUCUCCUGACCACUAGGUGGCGCUGCGUCGAAACACUGCAGGAAGUCUCAGGUCAUGCUUGUUAUAACACACACCAAGUUUUGUCUCAAUACGCCCAACCGUUGCAGAGUUAUAGCCUCACAAGCAUUUUUGCGUGCUUUUCGUAGAAUUUUUUCGCGUGGUAUUCGAGAACGGUUGGACGAAUCAACUUGAAUUCCAUAACUUUUUGCCAGUAUGGUCUGAAGAUGAUUUGAGCCAAUUUUCAUGAAAAUCGGACUAACCGUCUAGGACGAGUUCGAAAAAGUAGGUUUUUCGAACAAUUGAAAAUAGCGAAAAAACUAAACCUUGCGAUUUUUGAAUUUUGGGGUUCAUUCGACUUGGCAUGAGCCAAGGAUUCAGAGGAAAAAAGAAUUUUAAUUUUGUGGCUUACGGUUCAAAAGUUAUUAGCAUAAAAAUAUUGAAAUUUUGGACAAGUGGUGGCGCUAGAGAGUUGGAGUUAGAGACUUCAAAUUUGCUAUAUUUAAUGCUGGGACUGUCCUCUAUCAGUGUGCAAAAUUAUACAACUUUCCCGCAAUCGGUUCUAUGGGCUGCCAUAGACUUGCGGCGGAAGAAGAAGAAGAAGAAGAAGAAGAAGAAGAAGAAGAAGAAGAAGAAGAAGAAGAAGAAGAAGAAGAAGAAUAACGCCAACGGAUACAAUAGGUGCCUACGCACCUUCGGUGCUUGGCCCCUAAUAAUAAUAACGCCAACGGAUACAAUAGGUGCCUACGCACCUUCGGUGCUUGGCCCCUAAAUAUAGCUGCAAGCAGCAAUUACGGGGCCAAGCACUCCAGCGGCAAAUUGAGGAGCUAAGCAUGGCAUGGAGCAUCACACCAAAUGCAACAAUGAGCAAUUACAGCAAUUUUAGGAUGAUUGUAAUUGAAAUGGUGGAAAAAUCAUAAAUACAAGCACUGGUAAUAUGAUUAAAUGGCUUAUCACUUUUGACCAACAG